GUGGGGAAUCUUGCGCAAUGGGCGAAAGCCUGACGCAGCCAUGCCGCGUGAAUGAUGAAGGUCUUAGGAUUGUAAAAUUCUUUCACCGGGGACGAUAAUGACGGUACCCGGAGAAGAAGCUCCGGCUAACUUCGUGCCAGCAGCCGCGGUAAUACGAAUGGGGCUAGCGUUGCUCGGAAUUACUGGGCGUAAAGGGCGCGUAGGCGGACAGCUUAGUCAGAGGUGAAAGCCCAGGGCUCAACCUUGGAAUUGCCUUUGAUACUGGCUGUCUUGAGUUUGGGAGAGGUGAGUGGAACUCCGAGUGUAGAGGUGAAAUUCGUAGAUAUUCGGAAGAACACCAGUGGCGAAGGCGACUCACUGGCCCAAUACUGACGCUGAGGCGCGAAAGCGUGGGGAGCAAACAGGAUUAGAAACCCGUGUAGUCC
rnacentral:rRNA from 1 species